GAGACCUCAGGUCAGGCGGGGCUACCCGCUGAAUUUAAGCAUAUCAAUAAGCGGAGGAAAAGAAACUAA
rnacentral:rRNA from 1 species